AAGUCGUAACAAGGUUUCCGUAGGUGAACCUGCGGAAAGGGUCAUUAACACGUUCUAAACGUAUCAACCAAACCGCGAACUCUGACGUUAGUAACCUCUCUCAGUUUCUCUCGGGAGAUUGGGUGACGGUUACGCCUGAGCAUGUUAGGGGAAAGUGCUGUUUAGGAGCUUGUCUCCUCUACAGAGGCUACCUUUAGCAUUGUUCAUAUUAACCCAAACCAUAUUUGUUGUUCAUUUCUUCUGUUCUAAAGGACGUGGCGUUCAUCGCUAUUGUCUCUUUAUUACAAACUUGUACAACUCUUAGCAACGGAUGUCUUGGUUUCC
rnacentral:misc_RNA from 1 species